CUGAAUCCAUAUAUAUAUACACACACAUAUGAGGAUCCCUAUGUCAUACACCGUAAGUGACAAAUAAUUAAUUCACACAUAUUAAAAGUGGUAUAAAAUUAAAUGUCCUAAAUUUAAAUGGUAUGUUUUGGAAUAAGAUAAUCUGAACAGGCCGAAGUUACUCGGCGGUGCCGCGGCGAACUGACGCUCCUCUCCUCCCGGCGACGGCGGAGCCCUCUCGAUCUGCUCAUCCCUACUCGAUCUCCGCGCCGCCGUCUCCCACCUUCCCCUCUCUCUCCUCCCCGCCCUUCCCACGCUCCACCACGCGCCCGCCCUGGCGCUCGAGCCGGCGAAGCCUACGCCGUCGGCUGCCGCCCUCUCCACCACCUCCAUGUCGGCCGUGGCCCGGUGGCGCGGCGCAAAUGCAGCUAGCCGCAGCGCGCUGCUUCGACGGGAGAGGGCCGGCGGAGGGCGCCGAUGCCGGCGAGGCUACCAAGAGGAAGGGCUGAGGCCGAUGGGAGCGGAGAUCGAUCGAGCCUCUUAUUUAAGCAGAAGGAAUGUGUUCCGUACCUCAUUGUCGAUGCGCCAUGGACGCCAGGAUGUUUCUACAGGUAGCCCAAGAAUAUCUAGUGCAUAUUGUGUUGACGUGACCGAACAAACUGCAUCCAUAUCACCACUGGCAUGCAAGGGUAGAGUUGAAAUUAAGGGGUAAUAACUAAUAUGUGUUUUAAGUCAAUAGCUUAGAAACAUAGAUAUAUACCUGUACAGCCAUAUCCUUGUGCCACUUGAAAUUAGUGUCUUGAUUGAUGGCAGCAUUGUCUCUGGUGAGUCUUUCCAGUUAUCAAAUAUAAGUCCACUGCUUGAGGGGAAUAUUUAAAUUUGUUAGAAGCUUCAAAUGUUGACUUUUACUUGAUACACAUCUAGUAAGAGGCAGCUUGGGAGUC